rnacentral:rRNA from 1 species
CAUGCAAGUCGAGGGGCAGCACGAUCUUCGGAUUGGUGGCGACCGGCGCACGGGUGCGUAACGCGUAUGCAACUUACCCAUUACUGGGGGAUAGCCCGGGGAAACUCGGAUUAAUACCCCAUAGUACCAUUUGAUGGCAUCUGAAGAUGGUUAAAGAUUUAUUGGUAAUGGAUGGGCAUGCGUCUGAUUAGUUAGUUGGUGAGGUAACGGCUCACCAAGACGAUGAUCAGUAGGGGGUCUGAGAGGAUGAUCCCCCACACUGGUACUGAGAUACGGACCAGACUCCUACGGGAGGCAGCAGUAGGGAAUAUUGGUCAAUGGGCGAGAGCCUGAACCAGCCAUGCCGCGUGCAGGAUGACGGCCUUCUGGGUUGUAAACUGCUUUUCUACAGGAAGAAAAAGCCCUUGCGAGGGAAAUUGCCGGUACUGUAGGAAUAAGCACCGGCUAACUCCGUGCCAGCAGCCGCGGUAAUACGGAGGGUGCAAGCGUUGUCCGGAUUUAUUGGGUUUAAAGGGUGCGUAGGCGGGUCUUUAAGUCCGUGGUGAAAGCCCAUCGCUCAACGAUGGAACUGCCAUGGAUACUGGAGGCCUUGAAUUCAGUUGAGGUAGGCGGAAUUGAUGGUGUAGCGGUGAAAUGCAUAGAUACCAUCAGGAACACCGAUUGCGAAGGCAGCUUACUGGGCUUGAAUUGACGCUGAGGC